GGAGAGGUGUCCGAGAGGCUGAAGGAGCGCGACUGGAAAUCGUGUGUACGUCCAUAAAAGCGUACCGAGGGUUCGAAUCCCUCUCUCUCCG
rnacentral:tRNA from 1 species